rnacentral:rRNA from 1 species
AUUGAACGCUGGCGGCAGGCCUAACACAUGCAAGUCGAGCGAGCGGCGGACGGGUGAGUAAUGCCUAGGAAUCUGCCUGGUAGUGGGGGAUAACGUCCGGAAACGGGCGCUAAUACCGCAUACCAUCAGAUGUGCCCAGAUGGGAUUAGCUUGUUGGUGGGGUAACGGCUCACCAAGGGGACGAUCCCUAGCGGGUCUGAGAGGAUGCCCAGCCACACUGGAACUGAGACACGGUCCAGACUCCCACGGGAGGCAGCAGUGGGGAAUAUGGCACAAUGGGCGCAAGCCUGAUGCAGCCAUGCCGCGUGUAUGAAGAAGGCCUGCGGGUUGUAAAGUACAUUCAGCGGGGAGGCGUUACCCGCAGAAGAAGCAACGGCUAACUCCGUGCCAGCCGCCGCGGUAAUUC